rnacentral:rRNA from 1 species
UACGUAGGGUGCAAGCGUUAAUCGGAAUUACUGGGCGUAAAGCGUGCGCAGGCGGUUAUGUAAGACAGAUGUGAAAUGCCCGGGCUCAACCUGGGAACUGCAUUUGUGACUGCAUGGCUAGAGUGUGUCAGAGGGGGGUAGAAUUCCACGUGUAGCAGUGAAAUGCGUAGAGAUGUGGAGGAAUACCGAUGGCGAAGGCAGCCCCCCUGGGAUAACACUGACGCUCAUGCACGAAAGCGUGGGGAGCAAACAGG